rnacentral:lncRNA from 1 species
GGGUACCUAAGGUAGUAGAUUGGUUGGUGGGGAAUCGCCAGACCUGGAACUCGAAGGUAAAAGCGCAGACACAAGACAUGGAUUUAUACAGGUUCGGGCCGCCAGAGUAGCGUAAUACCCUACAUCCUGUUGGGGUGUUGUAUAUUGCGGCCUGCGCUUGGAUGUUGUUUGGUGUUGAACCUCUUGGUGGUUCUGAGGGUUCUAAACUAUCGAUCUAGGUACCCCUGCCCUCCUUUAUAUACUCUAGGGGGUGGGAUAACUAGUCAAUUACAGGGAGGAGUUCUAGUAGGAUUACAUGGUAUGAGUCCUAGUAGGAUUAUAGAGGAAUCCUAGUAGGAGUCCAUCUUGUUCCUUCUUUGCGGGUACUGGAGAUCUAUCCCCGACAGUCAUGAUCGCGGUGUAAGUAUGGAGUCUCUUCUUUGGCUAGCAUGAUGCUUGGGUCAACGUUGACAAUGAAUGGAGGCAUGCCAUCAAACUAAUCAUAAUCAUCUGACUUGUCUAUUUUAUCCUCGAAUCCCACGAUUUUUCUUUUACCUAAAAGAACUAUGUGGUGCUUUGGCUCCCAUGGUUUUUCUUUAUCUUCUGAAUUUUUCUUAGGUUUGCUAGACAUGUCGUUCACAUAGAAAACCUGAUGCACAUCAUUAGCAAGGAUGAAUGGUUCAUCAAUGUAUUUAGUCUUGGUUAGGUCCACUAUUGUCAUUCCAUACUGAUCUUUCGUUACGCCACCUCCAGUUAGCUACACC